rnacentral:rRNA from 1 species
UAUGGCGACCGGCGCACGGGUGAGUAACACGUAUCCAACCUGCCGAUGACUCGGGGAUAGCCUUUCGAAAGAAAGGAUUAAUACCCGAUGGCAUAGUUCUUCCGCAUGGUAGAACUAUUAAAGAAUUUCGGUCAUCGAUGGGGAUGCGUUCCAUUAGCUUGUUGGCGGGGUAACGGCCCACCAAGGCAUCGAUGGAUAGGGGUUCUGAGAGGAAGGUCCCCCACAUUGGAACUGAGACACGGUCCAAACUCCUACGGAAGGCAGCAG